GCAAGUCGAACGGUAACAGGAAAAAGCUUGCUUUUUUGCUGACGAGUGGCGCACGGGUGCGUAACGCGUAUACAAUCUACCUUUUACAGGGGGAUAGCCUUUAGAAAUGAAGAAUAAUACCCCAUAGUAUAUACAUUUCGCAUGUUAUUUAUAUUAAAGAUUUAUCGGUAAAAGAUGAGUAUGCGUUCUAUUAGCUAGAUGGUGUGGUAACGGCACACCAUGGCGACGAUAGAUAGGGGCCCUGAGAGGGGGAUC
rnacentral:rRNA from 1 species